rnacentral:rRNA from 1 species
AUGUCGCUCAGCCACGCGGCCGCCGACUGGACGACGUUCUGGGACCUCUUCAACACAUGGUCGGAGAUCAACCGAAACAAGAGUGAGAUAUCCACAGCGGCGCCAGUUGAGAGGUGGUUCCAGGAUGGCUGCCCCGUGCCGAUCCCUCUGCCGUUCGCCAAGGUGCAGGACAUGGCCAGGCCGUUGGAGUGCCCGCCGGUGCAGGAAUGCUCCAUCCAUUUCUCCCCGGAGAGCAUAAAGAAGCUGAAGGCGAAGGCGAACGCCGAGAUGGCCGGCACGGCCACGGCCCCCAUCUCCUCGCUGCAGGCCCUGCUCGCGCACCUAUGGCGAGCGGUGUGCCGCGCCCGGGGGCUGGCGCCGGACGCGGAGGCGAAGCUCACGCUCCCCGUCGGAUGCCGGACGCGGGUGAAGGGUAUUCCGCAGGCCUACAUGGGCAACGCCUUGACAAGUGGAGUUGCCAGGCGCCCCGUCGGCGAGAUCCUGGGCGACGGCCGGCUGGUCCGGACGGCGUGGCUUGUGAACCGUGCCGUGGCCUCGGUCGACGAGGCGAGCGUGAGGGCCGAGCUCGCGGCUUGGCCUCAGAACCCCAGCUUCAGCCGCGUGGGCGUGGGUGACCGCGACGGGGAUCCUGCGGCGGUGAUGAUGAGCGGCUCGCCGCGGUUCGACGUGUAUGGCAACGACUUUGGCUGGGGCAGGCCGGUGGGCGUCCGGACCGGGCCGGGGGACAAGGAGGACGGGCUGAUCACGGUUUUCGAGGACGGCGGAGGGGCCGGGGGCAUGGAGCUGGAGGUGUGCCUCGCCCCCGAUGUGCUCGCCAGGCUCGUCGCCGACCAAGAGCUGAUGAAGCCGUCGGUCUAG